rnacentral:rRNA from 1 species
AUGGGGGCGCAAGAGGCCGCGGAGGAGGCAAAGAUGCUCGCCUACAUGGAUGAGGUCAAGCAGGAGGAGGAUGAGCCGGAGCCCUCCUACCCGCCCGUCCAGCUGGCGCCCGGCACCGUCUUCGUGGAUAUCUCCGCGACGAAGAGUAGAUAUUUCGACAUAAGUCCGAGUAUCAUGGAGUCAGCAUCACCAACAGACGUGAGGUUCAGGGAACAUCCUGCUCUGCGGCUACUCUGCUUCUUCGCCGCCCUGCCCGGUAUCGCUGUCGCCGAGGUCGCGGCCUCACAAUCCCUCCUCUUCCUCAACCUGUCUUACAACAGGCUCUCCGGCCGCAUCCCUGACGCCUUCGCGGGCGGCUCCAAGGCACCCUCGUCGGCCUCCUCCGACGAGCGGAAAUUAGAAGCCAUCACCGGAGUUAUUUACCCAAAACCACCACACUUGAGGCUAGGCGCACUUGACCGCCGGAGCUGCUCCCGCCGGGGAGCUCGCCACCGGAGUGCUGUACCACCACUGACCCUCCUCCCCCUCCUUGCUUGCCUCGCCCGAGCCCUCCUGUGCUCGAUCCGGUCGCCGACUAGGCCGCCGGCCCAGCUCCUUGCGUGGACGGUGCCGAAGACCGCAGCCGCCGCGAGCUUCCAGCCAUGCUCCAGGUUGCUAAUGGCGUGCUCCUCCGUCCUGCCAACACACCACGUGGACGACCGGUCUCCUCGCGCGCGUACUCCAUCGAGGAUGGCAGCACCACGAGGAGCCUCGCCGGCAGGUGGGCGCACACCUCCAGCCUGCGGAGCUCGUUGCCAGCCUCGUGGACGCGGGCGCCAUGAGCCGCCAUCACCUCCUGCAAAAAGUGUUUCUUUGGAGAGGUCAAGCAUAGGCGUCUUGCUAGGAGGCUCCCGCGACCGAGGAGGCGCCGGAGUUGACAUGCGGCGGCACGCCAUGGCGUCUAGGCAUUGGGGGAAGAUGAUAGGAGGAAUAGGUAGAGGGCAUGGGGAGAAUGAUAGGAGGAAAAGGAAGAUGGCACAGGGAAGAAGCUCGUCGGAGCGACGGCGCUCGCCGCCCGGCAGGGCUUUGGCGGGUGCGGCUGCCACUGGAUACGGCCAGCUGUGUUGGGGUGGGUGGGGAAGAAAGUGGCUUGGGAAGAGAGAGAGAGGGGGGGUGAACAAGAGAGGCCGACAGGUGGGGCCUUUGGCCACCUCAGCAAAUUAUCCAUCUCGUCUUCCUCAGCCUCACGCACAACACGCUCGACGGGCCAGUGCCGGAAUCGCUCGCAGGGCUACCAAGCUGCAGGACCUCAACCUCUCCGGCAACAGCCUCAACGGCUCCAUUCCUGACAACCUUGGCUCGCUUCACGACCUCAAGGUGCUCGACCUCUCCGGUAACACGCUCGCCGAAGAGAUCCCGGAGAGCCUGGCCAACCUCACCACCACGCUCCAGUCCUUCAACGUCUCCUACAACAAUCUCUCUGGCGCCGUGUCGGCCUCGCUCCUACAGAAGUUUAGGCCCCCAUCCUUUGCAGGGAACAUCCUUCAGAGCGUCCAACAAUGUUUAGAAACAGAAGCGAACAUGCAGAACGUGCAAGCCAAUCGUUUUUCUCCUGUACCUGGCGGCUGGAACCCUAGCCGCUUUCAGGAGAUCCAAUCUUCCAGCGCCAUCCUCCGGCGGCUCCCCUCCGCCGGCGACCUCGGUGGUCGAUUCUUCGGAUCCUUCCUUGAAAAGGCCAUCGGUCCUAUGGUUGAGGAUGGAUUUGGAAACCAGUCUGUUCAAGUAAGGAUGGCGUGGCGACGGCGGCAUCCUUGUGGUGGACCUGUGUCCUCGGGCUCCGUCGUUGCGACGAUGUUUGCUCCAGCAUCGGCGCGGAGCUUGGGAGGUACUCCAGGAGCGGAUGCAGAUUGUGGUCUGCAUAGACGACAUCUGGAAGACGAAACAUGUGUUGGGUUCAUGGGCUUCACUUUUGGUGAGCCACCUUGGAGGUCCGCAAAGCUGCAUAUCAGCGAUGGAGACGCGUCGAGCUCGGGUGAGGAGGUGAUCCAUCAUUCUUUUCUUCGGUGGUUGCUGUCGUGGUGCCGGAGGCGGGUGAUGGGCGUUGGUGUCAAGCUCAAAGAUUACUAUGAAAAAAAGAAGCGAACAUGCACGUACAUAGCAUUCCUCGGAGGCUCGGAGGUCUGCCUGCCAUAUGGUCGGUCUGGUUGCUUCGUGAUCAUUCAUAUUCCUACUGGGCACACCUGCUGGCCGGCCGGUGUACCGCCAAGAAAUCCAGUUCAGCUAGAUGAAAUUCACCUCACUUCCUCGGUCAUGCGGCCAUCCCGUGAUGGAUUAGAGUACAUGCUUAAUCGGACAUUGUUGUCUGACCGUACAUUCACAUCAUACGUCGCCCUAAAUGAGCGUGCUCUCCCUCCAAUCCAUAUGCUCCGCUUCUAUUAUCGGGGUGCACCCACGGUUCAGAUCCUCGCUCGCCUCUGUCAUACACCAAAAGUGCAGUACACAAUGGCAUUCCUCACCGCCAAGUGUUCGUCCGCCCUGCUCCUCCUGUUCGGCCUGUCCGUGCCCCUGGCGGCGUGCCACGGCGCCGCCCACAACAUCACCGCCAUCCUCGCUGCGCGCCCGGACCUCGGCGAGUUCACCAGCCUGCUGGCGUCCACCGGCCUCGCGCACGACAUCAACCAGCACAGCGCCCCCAUCACGGUCCUCGCCGUCGACAACGCCGGCAUGGUUCCGCUCAGGGCGCGUCGCAUGCCACGCGCCGCGAUACGGCGCCGCCUCUCGCUCCACGUUCUCACCGACUACGACGCCGCGAGGCUGCAUAGCCUCCCGCCAGGCGGCUCCGUGGUGGCGUCCACCCUGUUCCCGGCCUCCCGCUCCGGGGCAGGGGGCAACGGCAUGGUGGAGAUCGUCAUGCCCGGGCUCGGGCUCGGUGACGAGGGGCGAGCGAGGUUCCUGCCCAUGGGCUCCGGCCCCGGCUUCUGGCAAGCCGCCUUCUUCGUCACGUCCGUGUACGAAGCGCCUGGCGACAUGUCCGUGCUGCAGGUCUCCGCCGUGAUGUCGGCCGGAGGCCCGCGCAAAGCUACUGAUUAA